rnacentral:misc_RNA from 1 species
AACGCAUAUUGCGCUCGAGGCUUCGGCUGAGAGCAUGUCUGCCUCAGCGUCGGGUUAAUACACUCACCCAUCCUACAUGCAUGCAUGUGGGCCGGCCGUGGAACUGGCUAUCCCGCUCUCACCUCGGGAGCGGGUGUGCUGAAGUAUAGAGGCAAUGCAUUGACCCGCUAAGGGCUGCAACUGGGUAGGUGGCUUUCCGCUGCUGAAUUCUCAUGUUGUUGGCCUGGGAAUGUGCUUGUUGCCCUCUAACUAGGAACAAUUGUUAACCAUUAUCUCGACCUGAGCUCAGGCAAGAUUACCCGCUGAACUUAA